rnacentral:rRNA from 1 species
GGUUCGAUUCUGGCUCAGAUUGAACGCUGGCGGGAUGCUUUACACAUGCAAGUCGAACGUACGGACUUCGGUCUGGUGGCGAGUGGCGAACGGGUGAGUAAUGUAUCGGAACGUGCCUAUUAGCAGGGGAUAACUACGCGAAAGCGUAGCUAAUACGCCGCCUGCGGGGGAAAGCGGGGGGACCUUCGGGCCUCGCACUAUUAGAGCGGCCGAUAUCGGAUUAGCUAGUUGGUGGGGUAACGGCUCACCAAGGCGACGAUCCGUAGCUGGUUUGAGAGGACGACCAGCCACGCAGGACUGAGAUUACGGCCCAGACUCCUACGGGAGGCAGCAGUGGGGAAUUUUGGACAAUGGGGAAACCCACCGUUCCAGCCAUCCCGCGUGUGCGAUGAAGGCCUUCGGGUUGUAAAAGCACUUUUGUAGCGGGAAAGAAGCGGCAGGAUAAUACCCGUGCAACUGACGGUACCUGCAGAAUAAGCACCGGCUAACUACGUGCGGCUGACGCAGUAAUACAUAGGAGUGCAAGCGUCAAUCAGGACACUAGAUAAGCGUGCGCAGGCAGUUCGGAAAGAAAGAUGUGAAAUCCCAGAGCUUAACUUUGGAACUGCAUUUUUUUUAACUUCUGACUGGAUGUGUCAGAGGAGGUGGAAUUCCGCGUGUAGCGGUGAAAUAGUAGAUAUGCGGGCUUUCGAUGGCGAAGGCAGCCUCCUGGGAUAACACUGACGCUCAUGCACGAAAAGCGUGGGCAAACAGGAUUGAAUGCCCUGGUAGUCCACGCCCUAAACGAUGUCAGCAGCUGUUGGGGCCUUCGGGCCUUGGUAGCGCAGCUAACGCGUGAAGUUGACCGCCUGGAGUACAGUCGCAAGAUUAAAACUCAAAGGAAUUGACGGGGACCCGCACAAGCGGUGGAUGAUGUGGAUUAAUUCGAUGCAACGCGAAAAACCUUACCUACCCUUGACGCUGUCUGGAAUCCCGAAGGGUGGUGCUCGCAAGAGAACCGGAACACAGGUGCUGCAUGGCUGUCGUCAGCUCGUGUCGUGAGAUGUUGGGUUAAGUCCGCAACGAGCGCGGUAUAAUCAUUAGUUACCUUACGAAAGGGUACUCUAAUGAGACUGCCGGUGACAAACCGGAGGAAGGUGAGGAUGACGUCAAGUCCUCUGGCCCUUAUGGGUAGGGCUUCACGUCAUACAAUGGUCGGGACAGAGGUCGCCAACCCGCGAGGGGGAACCAAUCCAGAAACCCGAUCGUAGUCCGGAUCGCAGUCUGCAACUCGACUGCGUGAGUCCAGAAUCAUAUGUCGCGGAUCAGCAUGUCGCGGUGAAUAUUCGUUCCGGGUCUUGUACCACCGCCCAUCACCAUGGGGUGGGUUUUACCAGAAGUAGUUAGCCUAACGUAAGGGCGAUUACAGGUAAGUUGUGACUGGGGUGAAGUCGUAACAAAGGGUAG